rnacentral:rRNA from 1 species
AUUGAACGCUGGCGGCAGGCUUAACACAUGCAAGUCGAGCGGGGGAAGGUAGCUUGCUACCGGACCUAGCGGCGGACGGGUGAGUAAUGCUUAGGAAUCUGCCUAUUAGUGGGGGACAACAUCUCGAAAGGGAUGCUAAUACCGCAUACGUCCUACGGGAGAAAGCAGGGGAUCUUCGGACCUUGCGCUAAUAGAUGAGCCUAAGUCGGAUUAGCUAGUUGGUGGGGUAAAGGCCUACCAAGGCGACGAUCUGUAGCGGGUCUGAUAGGAUGAUCCGCCACACUGGGACUUAGACACGGCCCAGACUCCUACGGGAGGCAGCAGUGGGGAAUAUUGGACAAUGGGGGGAACCCUGAUCCAGCCAUGCCGCGUGUGUGAAGAAGGCCUUAUGGUUGUAAAGCACUUUAAGCGAGGAGGAGGCUACUCUAGUUAAUACCUAGGGAUAGUGGACGUUACUCGCAGAAUAAGCACCGGCUAACUCUGUGCCAGCCGCCGCAGUAA